rnacentral:rRNA from 1 species
UACGGAGGGUGCAAGCGUUGUCCGGAUUCACUGGGUGUAAAGGGUGUGUAGGCUGGACGGUAUGUCAGAGGUGAAAGCCCACGGCUUAACCGUGGAACUGCCUUUGAAACUGCCGUUCUUGAGUCUCGGAGAGGUCGCUGGAAUUCGUGGUGUAGCGGUGAAAUGCGUAGAUAUCACGAGGAACACCGGAGGCGUAGGCGGGUGACUGGACGAGAACUGACGCUGAGGCACGAAAGCGUGGGGAGCAAACAGG